UAUAAUAUAAACUGGAAUUUGCAUUUCAAUCACAGUUCUACUUUUUUAACCCUGACUAAGAGAUGGUGAUUGAAGAUGCCUUACUGUGUCUUGAUCUGGAUUGAUUUAUGCAAAAUACAUUCUUGAACAGUGUCUUACAUCAGUGCUUCACACCAGGCCUGCAAUGCGAGUGAUAGAAAAUGAUGGCGCUUAAUUAUUGCUAAUACCACCCCAGUGUUGGGAAUAGUCUGCUGUACACUUCGGGAAAAUGUAGAAAAUAUUCAUAAACAUGCACAAACAGAGCACAGAUUUAUGGAGUCUGUACUGAGUAACGAGUCCCAAAAAACGCUGGACAAUUUUCACUAGCCACGCCAGGACAGCCAAGUCGUUUCAAAGAACUGCAACUUCCAAUUUUUGAAAUGAAGCAAUUAAGAUACACAAAAAACUAUUACAACAAACUAUCUAGAAAUCUAUCUAGAAAUGUCUCCCUUUUCUCGAAUAAAAGUGGAGCAGACAGACAUUCUGUUGUAAUAAAUCUGGACCUGAGUUGUCUGGCUGCCUCUGUGCGGUGCUUUUUUCUCUUUAACCCACGUUGUGCCCCACUCUAAUGCGGUGGAGGUUUUUUUUGUCGCAGGCCCCUUCGCUUUGAGUGGGUUCGGCCUGAAAGAGAAGAGGAGGGGGCUUUUGUCCGAUCUGAUCCCUAACUAUUUGGGGGGCUCAGAUUGGUGUGAAAGGGACGAGAAGGUCACUCGAAAUCGCCUUUUAUCCGCUGCCAUUUUCUCUAUGGAUCAGCAACUUUCAAUGGCCAUCAUCUAAUCGCUCUUAAUGGAAAGCGUAGUCGUGAGAGAUGGGGGAAAAUAUCUUAAACUACCACACUUACGGCGGCUCUUUAGCAGAUAACAUAGUCAUCGUGUGUUCAAGACAUAAAAAAAGAAAAUGUGCAGUAUUUAUGAUUUAAGGUAAACAUAAAAUUCCAACAUUCUUCAAUUUGUGAAUUUCAGUAUUUAAUGCUUCUUUCCAGGAAAUACAACUUCUAUAGGUUUACUGACCAAUCAUGAACCUUUUAAUCAGACUGUGAAUGUCCUGAGGGUAAGACAUCUAAAAUCUCAAUGAGUAUGAACAAGACAUCUAAAAUAUCUAUAUUUUUGCAAAAACAGUGUGUUUUUACUUUUUACUUUUUUUAUAAAACACAUACUGUACAGACUGACAAGAAGGAGCAACUCCUCCCACAGUCCCCUUCUCUGCCACCAGUGGUCAGUUCAAUCUCGAAGCAUAUUCAUGAAACCAGGCGUAGGAAAGCAAACGUACAAACUUCGAAUGGCUCCUAACGCUAAACAUACUUUUAGAUAUCGUUGUGGUGCAGGAACAGAGGAGACCGCGCGUGGACAAAUGGAGGUGGAAUGGUUUUUCCAAUUAGCCCGCGGUAGGAGCUUUAGUGAGAGGGACUGUCAAUUUAUGCUGGAGGUAAUGGCUUUAUUGCUCUCAAACCAUCAUCUAUUUAGAGCAUAUGUGCUAAUUGCGCUGGACGGUCUCUGAGAGCAACAUCAUAAAUUCGACAGUAGUUAAAACAAGCCUGGACCCACAGCAAUUAGGCCAUCUUACACCUCUGGAAAAGGAGGCGAAGCCGAGACGCGGACGCCCAAGUACGCAUGCGCAGUAGUACUGGCUUAUUGAACGGCUUUGUGGAAGAGGACGCUCUACACUCUCUGACCACAGAUGACAUCUAGCUGCUGUGCACUGAGAAAAAGGGCACUGCACAGGCUUGGCUAACAGUGAAACUUGAGCAGCUGCAGGUAUGUCUAUGCACACAUGCACACACACAGUGCCAUAAUAUCAUAAUAACAUCAGUUAUUUAUAUAAUAUCAAUAGAAUAUCAGUUAUCGUUAUAUUGCAACUAUAUACAAAUGAAGUAUAGCAGGUCUUGGUUUGAAACCAUCUCCUGUAACACAUUUUAAACAUUUCUAGGUGCUUUUUGAGCAGUUUUUAAUAAAUUAACUUGUUUGCCAAGUAUGUUACAUAUACAAGGAAUUUGUCUUGGUGAGUGCACACAUGUAUGACAUGUAAUAUAGCAAACAGACAAGCAAGCGCAUAGACUAUUAACACAUAUUAACUAAGGGACAAAUAAAAUAAGCAUAUGAUAAAUAGAGUAGAAAGAAUAAAAAGUUCUUCCAUAAAGCCAUGUAAUUGAAACUUCUCAUCCUUUUAGUGAUUUUGCAUAAAACAGCACAGCAUGACUGAAGUGAGUGUUGGGAAAAAAUAGUGAAAAUUGUGCGUCUUAUAUAAAACAAUGUGUCAUAGGCCCGGCAGGCAGUUCAGUAGUUCAGUCUUGAUACUCCUGCUGUGGGCUUAAACACCAAAUGUCUGCGGAUUGAGAGGGGCAGUUUAGAAUGUCAGUUUUCCUUCUCUGUCCAUCUUGUCACUGAGUAAAAUGGUCCCUCAUCAUUACUGUCAUGCUGAAAUGUCAUUUUUUGACAAAGCGACUGACUAAGUGUGGGCUUUUGGACAUUGGCACAACGUUCUGUCAUUUCUUCUCAUCUGACAACCAGAUGAUGCAAUUUGGCCACCAAAGCAAGUGUGUCCAUCCAUACGGUCUGUUACUUUCUGCCUCUUGUGUCAGCAUGCUCCUCAGUGACGCUGCAGAACGCUGUGGUCAUGUGGUUUAAUAACAGUUCUGAUAGCUGCUGUUUGAUUUUUUAAAGGCAAAGGAGUCGGGAAGGUUCUUUGGGGUAAUACUAUAGAGAAACCAGUUUUUGGUUCCCUUAAGAAACUUUCAGUUGACAUAAAUGAAAUGUGCAAGUGUAAAGAACCUUUUUAAAGAGAUUCUAUGAUAUGUAAAGGGACAAUAUGAGUUAAAGGUCCAAGACAAGAACUAAUUAACCACUAUUUUCGAGGUUGAAAGGUGCUCUUUUUAAUUUUGAACUUUCUAAGAUCAAUGCAUGGGCAUUAAUACUGUAAAUACCUUACCCUCAAAACAUUCCCUGUGAUUUAACCCCAUUCACCUGCUUCUUUAGAACAACAGCAUGCAUGCAAAGAGGCUAGCUAACAUGUAAUGUGUUGCAGUAGUGCACACGUGACUAUUAUAGAAAAACUUCCUGUGACUCACUAUCUUCUUUAUUUGCUCCCUACAGUUUCUCUGCCCUCUAGGACAUUGAUCUAGCAAUAUAAGUGGUAUGGUCAUCAACACUGUAGCUACAACUGCUUUGACAGUGUUGAUGCACCCAUGUAGUCACGAUACUCUUCAAUUUCAUUUAUGUGUCUGUGUAAGAGCUAACACAAAUACUAGUGCACACAUACAUGGAAAAACAAACACAGGAAACACUGUGCCUACAUCUCUGUUUAUGCUCUGUCCCUCUCUCACAGUCUCACACUCAGUGUCCUGCGUCUCCCCUCUCUAUCAGUUCAAUCAGUCUCUGAGGGAAAAAGAAUGUAGCCAUUAUUUCUAAACACACACAUUCCUCCAGGCUAGAUCCAUCAUAUCCCCAUCCAAAACUUUUUUGAACAAAUGCGGUGCAACAAGAAUUUAUUGCUCAGUGAAAGAACAGGCAUUUGAAACUAGAGGGGUCCGAGUAUAACCAGCUGUGGCACUCCAAAGCUAGUGUUCAUCCUGCGUUUAGGACAUCGGCUAGCGUGGGACUUCCUGCAUGAAAGUUGCCUUUUUUCUUCUUCAGUAUCUGGUAUAUGUGAAAUUCCAUCAAAGACUUAUGUUGUAAAUAAACAUAAAGAUAAAGAGCAAAAUAAAAGAUGCCAAAAGGAUGGAAAGAUGAUAUUAAAAAAAGAAAGAUAGACUAAUCAAUCAAUUUCUGCCAUAUCUUUUUAUUCUAGCUGUGAAUACACAGUAUGUGGCUCCUCUUAGCACCACUACAAAAGGAUAAUUAGCUUAUUGGAUGGUCAUUGUUAUCAUUUGAUGCUAAUGUCAUGUCUGCUAUAGCACUGAGAUUGAGCAGAUUCUGAUUCUAUUUGAUCCCCUCAUGUCCUUAGCUCUUCUUUCCUCAGUUUAAUGCAGCUCCCCCAAGCUAACAUGAACAAAAGCUAUUGCUCUUCAUCUAUCAGAGCAUGGUUAAAGGUAAGUGGCACCCUCUAUUAUGAUGACAAGGCAAGUAAUGGUACAGCCUGCCCCCCUGGUUCUGCAUUACUUAUUUAUAGGUUACCCCCCCUCCUUCAGUUUGGGCAAGUCUGUUUUUUUUCGGAGAGCAUGUGGGUGCCACAGGUGAACACCAAAUGGGCAAAUCCACUGGGGAUACAACUAACAUGAAAGCAGCCAUGUAGCAUGUUAACCUCCACUGUAAAUACUGUUAUUCUUAACUGUGUAUUAAGUGUUUAUCUGUAUUUUUUAUAAAUCUAUGUUUAUUAUUUAAAGACUGAAAGAAAACACAUGUAUUUAAACGAGUUAAAUAAAAUGACCAUGCAUCUAUA